rnacentral:rRNA from 1 species
AUUGAACGCUGGCGGCAGGCCUAACACAUGCAAGUCGAGCGGAUGAAGGGAGCUUGCUCCUGGAUUCAGCGGCGGACGGGUGAGUAAUGCCUAGGAAUCUGCCUGGUAGUGGGGGAUAACGUCCGGAAACGGGCGCUAAUACCGCAUACGUCCUGAGGGAGAAAGUGGGGGAUCUUCGGACCCCACGCUAUCAGAUGAGCCUAGGUCGGAUUAGCUAGUUGGUGGGGUAAAGGCCUACCAAGGCGACGAUCCGUAACUGGUCUGAGAGGAUGAUCAGUCACACUGGAACUGAGACACGGUCCAGACUCCUACGGGAGGCAGCAGUGGGGAAUAUUGGACAAUGGGCGAAAGCCUGAUCCAGCCAUGCCGCGUGUGUGAAGAAGGUCUUCGGAUUGUAAAGAACUUUAAGUUGGGAGGAAGGGCAGUAAGUUAAUACCUUGCUGUUUUGACGUUACCAACAGAAUAAGCACCGGCUAACUUCGUG